rnacentral:tRNA from 1 species
GGCAAGAUGACCGAGCGGUUAAGGUGCCAGACUCAAGUUCUGGUGGGGCAACCCGCGGGAGUUCGAAUCUCCCUCUUGUCA